GAGGGGCUCGCGGCCGAUCAGCUAGUUGGCGAGGUAACGGCUCACCAAGGCUACGACGGGUAGCUGGUCUGAGAGGAUGGCCAGCCACAUUGGGACUGAGAAACGGCCCAGACUCCUACGGGAGGCAGCAGUGGGGAAUCUUGCGCAAUGGCCUAACGGCUGACGCAGCGACGCCGCGUGAGGGAUGACGCUCUUCGGAGUGUAAACCUCUUUUGCCUGGAACGAACUAUUGGCUUUUGCCGAUUUGACGGUACCGGGUGAAUAAGCACCGGCUAACUCCGUGCCAGCAGCCGCGGUAAUACGGGGGGUGCGAGCGUUGUCCGGAAUCACUGGGCGUAAAGGGCGCGUAGGUGGCGUGAUAAGGGUGUGGUGAAAGCCCGGGGCUCAACCCCGGGUCGGCCAUGCCAACUGUCAGGCUC
rnacentral:rRNA from 1 species